rnacentral:tRNA from 1 species
AGCGAUGAAAGCGGAUAUUCUCAGAGCUGAGGAUUGAAAAUCCUUGUAUCGGUGGUUCGAUUCCGCCCCGGGCCA